rnacentral:piRNA from 1 species
UACUCACCAUGUAGUGCAUUUGUACUAACC